rnacentral:rRNA from 1 species
AGCGAACGCUGGCGGCAGGCUUAACACAUGCAAGUCGAGCGGGCGCUUCGGGGUCAGCGGCGGACGGGUUAGUAACGCGUGGGGAUGUGCCUUCUGGUCUGGAAUAACCCUUGGAAACUAGGGCUAAUACCGGAUACGCCCUUUUGGGGAAAGGUUUACUGCCGGAAGAUCGGCCCGCGUCUGAUUAGCUAGUUGGUGGGGUAACGGCCUACCAAGGCGACGAUCAGUAGCUGGUCUGAGAGGAUGAUCAGCCACAUUGGGACUGAGGCACGGCCCACACUCCUACGGGAGGCAGCAGUGGGGAAUAUUAGACAAUGGGCGAAAGCCUGAAGAAGCCCUGACGCGUGAGUGAUGAAGGACUUAGGGUUGUAAAGCUCUUUCAUCAGGGACGAUAAUGACGGUACCGGAGGAAUAAGCCCCGGCUAACUUCGUG